GGGGUUGACUGGUUUCGACAGCAAGAUCAAUGGGUAAGUAAGCAUGCAGAGAACCGUAGCGCGAUCUCUUUAAUCCCUUGCUACAAAAUUUUAACUGGCGACCAAGAGUUUGCUCUUGCUGCUUAAUCCGAAUCAUAGUACGAUUUAGCGCUCUCCCGAAGACAGUAAGGAGGCAAGAUAUCCCACAGAAGUUCUGUUUCGCGACGUCUGAUUCUGGGGUAUAGCAAUGCGGAAAUAAGGUUUUGGAGGCUUCGGCCAAAGCUCGACAAUUUUAGAAGCUAAGGUAAAAGUUGGGUGUCUGCUCUCUGCUUUUGCACGAAAACCAAUAGUAGAAUAAGCAUGUAGAAAUCUUAUGUAUUGCUUGUUUGGACGAGGGUUCGAAUCCCUCCAACUCCACAU
rnacentral:tmRNA from 1 species